rnacentral:rRNA from 1 species
AGAGUUUGAUCCUGGCUCAGAGUGAACGCUGGCGGCGUGCCUAACACAUGCAAGUCGAACGAUGAAGUCCUUCGGGAUGGAUUAGUGGCGCACGGGUGAGUAACGCAUAGGUAAUGUGCCCCUUAGUCUGGGAUAGCCACUGGAAACGGUGAUUAAUACUAGAUACUCCUUCUUGUCAUAGGGCAAGUCGGGAAAGUUUUUCGCUAAGGGAUCAGCCUAUGUCCUAUCAGCUAGUUGGUGAGGUAAUGGCUCACCAAGGCAAUGACGGGUAUCUGGUUUGAGAGGAUGAUCAGACACACUGGAACUGAGACACGGUCCAGACUCCUACGGGAGGCAGCAGUGAGGAAUAUUGCACAAUGGAGGAAACUCUGAUGCAGCAACGCCGCGUGGAGGAUGACGCAUUUCGGUGUGUAAACUCCUUUAAGAGGGAAGAUU